GUCUACUGCUCUACCACCCUGAACACUCCCCAUCUCGUCUGAUCUCAGAAGCUAAGCAGGGUCAGGCCUGGUUAGUACCUGGAUGGGAGAACGGUUGUUU
ensembl:rRNA 5S_rRNA 5S ribosomal RNA